rnacentral:sRNA from 1 species
UCCCGCAGCCCUCUUGGGCGUUUCCUCCCUAGACUUCGGGCCGCCGCAAGGCGGCCUUUUCUUUUUCCCGG